rnacentral:sRNA from 1 species
AUGGAUGUCAAAGGUUUUGAGAAGAAUGAUACUCAUAGCCGUGCCUCAAGUUUUUCAGAUACAAGUUUCUCAUCUGUGCAUGAGAGGAGUUUAGCAUUAAAGCCAGUUAUUGAAACACCCGGAGAAGCAGAUUGCAGGACUGUGGUUGAUUCAAAAUCUGUCAUGGAAUUUUCUGCGGCGGAUGAUGCUCGACAGAAGAAGCAGUUACAAUUUUCUGAGGAGCGGUUACAGGUUGUUUUUUCGGAUUUGAAGGAAAAUGCAUAUAAGGAGGUCACGAUGCUUGGGAAUAAAAUGACAGCUGUUGCCAACGUCAUUAGUGCACCCAACGUGUCUGCCACAUCACUACAUGAUGAGGUUUGUGUUACGAAUUUGGAGGCUAUAGGAGUCUGGGACCGAUUGAAAAAGGACAAUCCAGUGAUGUACAGGCUUCAAAAAACAGUGACAUUAAAUUUGAUACUCAGAGUUUGCUAUGCUCUCAACCACUAUCUUUUCCAUCUGCUCAAGGAGAUAACGUUGGUCAAAUACACACUAUUGCCACUGUGAUGGAUAAAGAAACUAGUGCUAAUCUAAUACGGGCUUCUGAUGCAAAUUUUAUAUCAGGUCAGACUGAUAAUGUUAUGGUUAAUGAAGGUAAGGAUCAGCAUACUGGUACAGAACAGAGGCAAUUCCAUUUACUCAAGUCAAGUUGGUACGUGGAAAAAAGGGUGGCUUUAAAAGAGGUAGAUGGACGAGAUUAAGGGGUAGAGUUGGUAUGGAUAACUUGCAGGAUGAUAAUUCCACCAGUUCAGGUAAACGUAAUUUUCCAGGAACAUUUGAGGCUAUGGUUGAAGGUUCAGAGACAUAAAAGAAGUUCAAAAUAGAGACGGUACCUACUGAGGACAAUGACAUUUUGGCUUCACAUUUGGAAUCGGUGGAGGCUGUUGAUCAGCCCCGCCAGGCCCAAUGAGUCUCUUAAGCUGGAACUGCCGGGGGCUUGGGAACCAACGGACAGUUAAUGCCUUGAAAAAGAUUAUCAAGGCACAAGUUCCUGAUUUAGUUUUCCUAAUGGAAACUAAAUCUGAUAUAGGCUGGAUGGCAUAUGGUCGUGAUCAAUGUGAGUUUAAAAAUGGUUUGUUUGUGCCUAGUGAUGGAUCUAGUGGUGGUCUAGCUUUACUUUGGAGGAAGGAGGUUACAGUUCACUCAAAAUUACUCAUCUUCCCACAUUAAUGCUUUUGUUGAUGGAGGUGUUGAUGGGUGGUGGCAUCUUACAGGUUUUUAUGGUAACCCAAAAACAUCUAGGCGGUGUGAAUCAUGAGCUUUGCUUAAAUCUCCUAGUAAUUAUUCUCACUUACCGUGGCUUAUUAUUGGUGAUUUUAAUGAAUUGGUGGGUUUGUCUGAAAAGGAAGGUGGAGCUACUAGACCUGCAAGUCAGAUGGCACGAUUUCAGGAAGCAAUUGAUGUGUGUGGACUUAAAGACCUUGGUUUCAUUGGUCCUCGGUUUACUUGGUUAUAUCAGAAAUUUGAUGGCACACAGAUACGUGAAAGGUUGGAUCGGGCUUUGGCUACAUGUGAUUGGAUGAGUAAGUUUCCUACAGCAAAACUAUAUCAUCUUUCCUCUUCUGCUUCUGAUCAUUGCCCACUAGCUUUGCAUUUUCUUAGAAGGAAAAAGAAACGCAGGUAUCAUCUGCCUUUUAAAUUUGAAUCCAUGUGGCUAAAAAACGACAAAUGUGAAGAAGUUGUUCAUAGAGCUUGGGAUGAGGGGUUAAUGAGGGAUUCGGCCUUCCCAUUAAAUUCUUGUUUAGAAUCUUGUCGUGUGAGUUUAGAUGCAUGGAAUAAGAAUGACUUUGGGCAUGUUGGGCAGCAAAUUGCAAGGCUACAGAAAACUCUUGAAUGGUUGUAGUUAUAGCCUACUUCUCCUUCAAUCAUUACUGACAUGCAGAAAACAAGAGUUGAGUUGAAUUGUUGGUUGGACAAGAAUGAUGCCAUGUGGUUACAAAGGUCGAGAAUUAAUUGGUUCAGAGAGGGAGAUCGGAAUACCAGUUACUUCCAUUCCAAAGCUUCUGCUAGAUAUCAAAAUAACUUAAUAGAUGGUAUGGAGGACUUGAAUGGUGUUUGGCAGGAGGGUAUCGACAUUGUGGAGGGGAUAAUUGUUGAUUAUUAUUCUACAUCAUUUUCAUCCUCUAACCCAACUGACUUUAUGGAGUUACUUGAUGCUUUGGAGCCUAAAGUUACUGGUGCUAUGAACCAAAUGCUUCUUAGGGAUUUCCAGGAAUCUGAGGUGAAGACAGCUUUAAAACAGAUGUAUCCUCUAAAAGCGCCUGGUCCAGAUGGUAUGCCCCCUCUUUUCUUCCAACAUUUUUGGCCUUUAAUUGGAAAUGUUGUCACAAAAACAGUACUUGUUUUUCUUUAUUUUGGAAUUAUGCCUCCAAAUUUUAAUGAAACUCAUAUUUUUUUAAUUCCUAAAAUUAAAGAGCCAAAAAAAGUUACUGAUUAUCGCCCAAUUAGCUUAUGUAAUGUUGUUUAUAAACUAGCUUCAAAGGCGAUUGCAAACAGAUUGAAGAAGAUUUUACCGUCUAUAAUCAGUGACACUCAAAGUGCCUUCGUAUAUGGAAGAUUAAUUACUGACAAUGUUUUAGUGGCUUUUGAAACUAUGCACCAUAUUAAUAUGAAAAAAGGAGGGAAAAAUGGAGAGAUGGCACUUAAAUUGGAUAUGAGUAAGGCCUAUGAUAGGGUAGAAUGGGGCUGCCUUGAUAAAAUUAUGGAGAAAUUGGGAUUUGAGGCUAGAUGGAGGAAGUUAUUGUUGACAUGCAUUUCCACUGUUACUUACUCUGUUCGAAUUAAUGGGAAGCCACAUGGAAAAAUAGUCCCUUCAAGGGGAUUAAGACAGGGUGAUCCAUUAUCUCCAUAUCUUUUCUUAUUAUGUGCUGAAGGCCUUUCUGCUUUGAUCAAGAAAGGGGUUGGAGAAGGUCAGCUAGAGGGUAUUUCUGUUUGUAGGAAUGGGCCCAAAUUAUCUCAUUUAUUUUUUGCAGAUGACAGUCUCAUUUUUUGUAAAGCAUCUUUGCAGGAAUGUGACUCUCUACAGAGGGUUCUCCAGGUUUAUGAGAAUGCCUCUGGUCAGCAAUUAAAUAGAGCAAAGACUUCUCUUUUCUUUAGCUCUAAUACUGAUCAUGCAAUUCAAGAGGAAAUUCAAAGAAGAUUUGGAGCUCAAGUUAUCAAGCAACAUGAGAAAUAUUUUGGCCUUCCUUCGCUGGUUGGAAGAAAAAAGCGAAGAACUUUCAAUGACAUCAAGGAAAAACUUGCAAAGAGGCUAGCUGGAUGGACGGAAAAAUUGCUUUCUAAGGCAGGUAAGGAAAUCUUAAUUAAGGCGGUGGCUCAGGCAAUACCAACUUAUACUAUUAGUUGUUUCAAACUUCCUGAUACUCUCUGUGAGGAAUUGACGAGUAUGAUUCGUAAUUUUUGGUGGGGUCAAAAACAGGAUGAAAGAAAACUGAAUUGGAUGAGUUGGGAUAAACUGUGCAUGCCUAAGGAAGAUGGGGGAAUGGGAUUUAAGCAACUUAAACCUUUUAAUUUGGCUUUAUUAGCCAAACAAGGGUGGAGGUUGCAAAUGGGUCAGAACUCUCUUGUUUAUCAUGUCUUUAGAGCAAGAUAUUUUCCUAAUUGUGAUUUUGUAGAAGCUUCUCUUGGUGCUAACCCUUCAUUUGUUUAGAGAAGUCUUAUGGCUGCUCAAAAGCUUGUGCAAGAUGGUUUACGAUGGCAAAUUGGAAAUGGGUUCAAAGUGCAGGUAUGGAAUGAUAAAUGGUUACCAAGUUCUUCAACUUAUAAAGUGGUUUCUCCUAGGCUGAAUGCUCCUGUGGACCUCAGAGUUUCAGAGCUCAUUGAUAUGGAGAACAGGUGCUGGAAUCUUCACUUGUUGCAGCAACUAUUCCUACCGUUUGAAGUGGAGGAAAUUCGUAGCAUACCACUUAGUUACUCACUUCCAUCAGAUAAACAAAUCUGGACAGGUACUUUUAAUGGUUUGUUCACAGUUAGAAGUGCAUAUAAAUUGGCUAUGGACAAUUAUAGUGUUUCUGGGGGUGCAUCUUCUUCUAAUGACAACAACCUUCGCUGCUUUUGGAAGAAAGUUUGGCGGCUACCAUUUCCGCAUAAAGUAAAACAUUUUUUAUGGCGUGCUUGCCGUGAUAUUCUUCCAACUAAAGCAAAUCUUUUGCGGAGAAAGGUCUUAUCUGAGGAUAUUUGUGAGGAAUGUAUGCUAGAGGCCGAAACUUCUGGUCACUUCUUUUGGUCAUGUCCUAGAGCUAAGCAUGUGUGGCGUUAUUCUGGGCUUCUCAAUCCAGAUUAUGCAGGUUCGAAUUUUGCAGGUUUCAACAGUUUCAUGGAGUUAGCAUGGAAAAUGUUGAUGGUUGAUCACUGUCAUGACAGUUUGGUAGCUUUGAUGGGAACGAUUGCCUGGAGGUUGUGGGGAAACAGAAAUGAAGUUCGCCAUGUGGGUAAGAGGCUUGGUGAAUUGGAGUUAUGUCAUGAUGCCUUAAUCUGGCUAUUGCAAUUCUAGGAAGCAACUGAGCCCAAUGCUGCUACGGAACUGGUGCAGUUCGAACCUGUGAUUCAACGUACAUGGGUGCCUUCCUCAAACCGAUUAUACAAGGUCAACGUGGAUGGGGCCGUUUUCAAGGACAGAAAUGAGUCGGGAGUGGGAGUCAUAAUACGUGAUGUUAAUGGUCUGGUGGUGGCUGCAAUGUGUAAAAAAUUAUAUGUGCCAUUGGGCCCAUUAGAGGUGGAAGCCAAGGCAUUUGAGUCCGGUCUGCUCUUUGCCAAAGAUGUAGGACUACAGGAGUUUAUUUUAGAAGGGGAUUCUCUUAAUGUGGUUCUUGCUCUCCAAGGUUUAUCGCCUCCAUCUGUUUCGGUCAUGCCUAUCAUCUAUGGGAUCCAAGUAUCUUGUAAUGAUGUUCGGAAAGUGCUGUUUUCUCAUGUAUGUAGAAAAGGAAAUAGACCUGCCCAUAUCUUAGCAAAACAUGCUAUUGGUAUUGUUGACUUUAUAGUUUGGAUGGAAAAGAAUCCUUGUUUUUUGGAACAAGCUCUCCAUCAUGAUGUAAUGUUUUCUUCUGUUUAAUAAAAGUGUUCAUGUUACUUAUCAAAAAAAAAAAAAAAACAUGUGCCCUAUUUAAUUAAUCAAUAUAUCAAUUGAAAAUAAAACCUUUCAUUUACUAAUGCAUACAUGGUAUACCGUAAUCAUGUAUAAUUUAAAGUUAUUGGCUUUUAGGACAAGGAUUUUACAUAAUUCGGCUUAAUGUCCUACGUCUGUAGCAAAAAAAUCCUUAUGACUACAUCUUUGAUAUUAAGCUCUUCACUUUAUAAUGAAUUUAUAGUUGUUAGUAUUGUACAAUAUGCGAUUUAUAUCAUACUAUACAUAUUGUAUUGAAUAAAAAAUAAGUCUUGUAUUAUAAGGGCGUAUCUAAAAUGUUCAUGAAUCAUACAAUACAUAGGUUCAUAUUGUUUAAAUUAUAUCAUAAAAUCAUAUGUGUCAUACGAUACACAGGCACGUCGAUUUAAAAUGAGAUUUUUAAAAAAAAAUUAAAUUUUGUGCUUUUACUUGAGUCUAAUGAGUUAUUAGACUUGUUUUUGACACAACAUUACUGAGCUACUUAAUUGAGCCCAAUAAAAUAACAUGCCCAUGAGAGUUUUUUUUUUUAAAAAAAUUUCUUAAAAAAUUUAGACUACACACUUGAUAUUUCACUUCCAUAUUCGCAAAUAUAUUUUAUAUACUAUUAAUAUGGUAUUAAAUGACAAAAUAAUUAUUUCUUUCUUUAUUAUUAUUAUUACAAGUCUAAGAAGUUAGAAUGCCAAGAAAAAAUAUAAAGAAAUUUAAUUAAAAUAAAAGAACAAGAACAAAUGGUAAAUGUUGAUAAGAAUGAAGAAAUGAAUUUGCAAGAUGAUGAAUAUGAUAAUAACAUUAGCUUUGGUUGGAUUUAUUAGGUAAGACGAUAAAUAUAACGAAAAGAAAUUAUUAUUUUAGUUUUUAUGUCAUGUAUUAUCACUUUUGAGUUUAAUAAAUUUGAAUGUAUAUGUUAUAAAUAUAUAUUAGUUUGAUUUAUUUAAUUAGCAUUGUUAAAUAUUAUUAAAUAAGCGAUGAUUGAAUUAGUCAUUAUUUGAAUAUAUUGCAAAUUUAUAAUGAAGAUGCCUUUUAUAUAUUAUAUAGAUAUAUAAUUUUUUUUAAAAUUAUUAGGUGUCCAUGUAUUUAUAAUACAUGAUAUGGAAAAUUAAAAUUCAGUUCAUGAUACGAUUAUCAUUUUGAUAAUUAUGAAUGAAUGUAAUGUAGAGUCUAUAUACUAGAGAAUAUUUAACUUAAUUUUAGACAAACUCAAUGUUAAUUUGCUUGUUUUACAAAUAUAUAGACCUAAAAUUGGUUCAGGGUUAGUUUAACUAGUAAAGUCUUUUAUCAUCGAAAAAAGUUAUGGAGUUUAUUUCCCACUUAAACAAAAAACCAAUUGGUGUAUUGAUAUGAUGAUAAAAAGCAACCAUCAAGAAUAGAUGCUAUAUAUAUAUAUACACAUACACACAUAUUUUGUACCAUUUAAAUAGAUGUAAUCAAAACAAAGUGCCGCAGAACUAAAUACAUACUGUAAGAUUCAAAUAACAAAUUUAUAGUGCCAACUGCCAAUGGGAAAGAAUCAAAGAAUUGACAAAAAGAUGGUAAAAACUAAAUGAAAGAUAUACAAAAAGAAUCUUUAAAAUUGCAUGGGUAAUGGUAUGACAGCGUGUACAUCAACGACGAUAGUAAUAUUUGAACUCCUUGGUGAUCUUAAUCCCAAUAAUUGAAUCUUCUUUUUGGUAUUUUGUACUUGGAAUCGUAGUUUUACUUUCUUUUUUCCUUUUUGCUACUUCAAGUUUCAAUGUUGAACUUGCAUUAGCUGCAAGUGUAAAUCCCAUUUGUGAUUCUGUAGCAAUAAGAUAGACAAGUUGAUAUUGAUCACAUCAUACUCUUGUUGUCUUAUCACCGUUCAUCAUUAACAUACCACUCCUGCAUCAAGGUAUGUGCAAAUAUGUACAUUUAAAAGAAGUUUAUUACAUGCGUUAGUUAGAGAAUUCAUAAUUUCAAUUGUUUUUUUAUGCUUGUAAAAAUAUGUAUAUUAACGUAUGUGCAACAAAUUUUUGCCUUUUCAAAAAUACUCCCUUCAAUUCUAUUAAAAUUUGAAAACUACAAAAAUAAUGAGAAACUUUAUGGUAAUGUCUCCUUCAAAUUUUUAUUUUUUUAUUUUUAAGUAUAUACACUCAUUUUGUAUUAGUGUCUAAUUUGUUCUUUUAUUAUUCAAUUUUUGCCACAUAUAACUCAUUAAUUUUGUGAACAUUUAAGAAAUACUAUGUUUAUAAAAAUAUAUAACUAAAUCUCUUUAGUAAAUGUUCAUUUUCUUUUCCAAAACAAACUCAUUUUCGUUUCCAAAACAAACUCAUUUUCGUUUGCAUUUAGAAAGUUUGGGAUGAAAGGAUAUGAUUUUAUUUAUUUUUUACAUAUUUAUAUUAGAUUGAUAUGUUAAGGCAUUAGAAGAUGACAUUUAUUAGGUUAUUUAUUUAUUUAUAAAGAAACAAACACACACACACAAUAGAAAAGGAAUGAGGUACAUUUAUUAAUUAAUUUGUAAGCAUUUUAUGCUUUUGAAUCUUUAAUAGCUGAUUUAAAAAAAGAAAUUGCAACUAUAAUUUUUGCCACUUCGAUCAAAUUGAAGCAAAUGGAGGAACCCCCAAUUAAUAAUUAGGACAAAACUUAGGUACAGUACCUUAGGUGCUAUUCCUUAGAUUCUGCUCUUAAGAUUUAGCCAUGUGGCUACUUAAUUAAAAAAUACACUUCAUUCCAAUGAGAGAAAAUCCACACGGCAGAAUUUUAAAAGGGAAACCUAAGGAAUAGUACCUAAGUACUGUACCUAAGUCUUGUUCUAAUAAUUAACACUUGCAUGUAUGAAAAGAAAAAUAGAUGUCUACCAAAGUUCUCAACGUUUAUAAGAACAAACAAGUAAAACUUUUAAAAAAAAAAUUUAAUAUUUUUUUUUGAUAGAAGAUAAAAUUUCUACUCUAACUUAAUCUAAAUGUAUAUUUGUGUGAAAUUCCCUCCUAGAGACUUGAACUCCGGCUUUUACCCUUAAUACUCCACAAAAAUUUAUAUUUGUGAAGUGACCACUGCACUAAGUGUGUGUGGCAAUAAAAAUUUCAAGAUUUACAUGCAAGGUCAACGUGGAAAUCCAAAAAAAGAAAAAAAGAAAUCUAUCAAAGCAAAACCGGCAAAAUUUGCCAAAUAAUAGAUUUUUAGAAAAAAUUUUGGUGCAUGGCAUGCGGAUGAAAGAUUUUAGUUAGUUGGAUUGUUUUUGAAAAUCGAGUUUAAGAAACUCGAUUUUCAACACGUUUUUCUAUUGCGCUAAGUCUGAAAUGGGCAAAAAAAAAAAAAAAAAAGUAGAACUCGAGUCUAAGAGACUCGAGUUCCAGUUUCUUAAACUCAAUUUUCACUUUUUAAAAAUAAAAACAGGCUAACUUACUAAAAUGUUUCAUCCAUGUGCGUUUUUGCAAAAAUUUUCCUAAAAAUCUAUUAUUUGGCAAAGUUUGCCAAGCAAAACCAUACAUUAGUCUGAAAAAAAAAAAAAAAAAAAAAAAAAACCAGAACUGUUUUGGCAAAACCCCAUUUGUUUUUGGCAUUUUUGCAAAUUGCAUGCACCAACACAAUUCAAAUUUCUCUCUCUUUCUGUUUCCAGAGAGAGAAUGAGCGGAGGCUAAUGGGUUUGGCCUUUUCAAUACGACGACGUUCACCCCAUCCUCGACUGGAUCUGCCCCAGUCUCCGCUUCUCUCUCUCUCAUUUCUGUUUCCAGAGAGAGAGAGAGAGAGAAUGAGCGGAGGCUAAAGUUUUUGACCUUUUCAAUACGACGACGUUCGCCCCAUCCUCGACUGGAUCUGCUCCAGUCUCCUUCUCUCUCUCUCUCUCUCUCAAUUUUCCAUUUCAAUUAGGGUUUCUUAUUUUCGUUUAUUUUAAAUCACAGGCGUGAGCAAUUUUCCACUGAAUUUGAAUUUCUUGGGUGAUUACAGGGAGAGAGGACUUGGACUUUGCUUUUGAUGAUAGCGUUUCUGCCUUUUCUGCUAGACCAGGAAGGAAGCACCUUUUUGGCGUUGAAGAAAGAUAUUGGGUAUUCUUUCUACACGUUGCUUUUACUUGUACAUGGUUGUCAACUACCAUGGACUGAAAUUCACUCACCGCUUCUACAACUUACCAAUAACAACAUGGUUGUUGUACAUUUUCCGCUUUGAAUUGACAAAUAAUGUAUGAAACAUAUUUGGGGUUAGGGUUUCAAAUUUGCAUCAUAGUGAUUGUUGUUGUAUAUGCCUUUGAUGAUGAGUUUUCGUUUUCAGUUAAAUAUGCAUAUUUAUUGCAUGCCUUUUUUCAUGUUUGAGAGAUAGGGCUUUUAAAGUUUAAACUGUAACUUUUGUAUUAGGUUCAUCUCCAUUUGAAAUGGGUUUAUUUCGUGGUUUUUAUUAAAUGUUACGAAUCUAAAGAUGUAACAAGUGCCGUUCCAUAACUUUUAGCCUUUCCCCGUAAGCUUACCAACAAAACGCUUGUGUUUGUGUAUAAAAGCUUUCUUCUAGAAAUUAAAAACGCUUUACAUAUUCAAGUACUUCUUAGCUUCACAUUAAUAAUUUUGGUUUACAGAUGAAAACAGAGGUAAAGUGUGAAAUGGAUUUGUUGGGGUUGUGGUUUUACUUUUGGCACAAAGGAUUAAGGUAUGCUCAGUGUUUGAUACUUUAUUUCUCUGAUUUUAAUCAGUUGAUGGUUUUGAGUCCAAGAUUUUGGACACUAUGCAAUGGAGUUUCAUUUUAGGAGCAGAAGUUUUAGCGAGUUUGAAUCAUGAUGGAUGAUAUUUAUCUGUGUCUUAAUUUGAUGCUGAAUCCAAUGAUUAUCUUCUGGGUUGUAUUUGGUUUUCACUUUAUUUUAUUAUAUUAACUAAACAUGGUGUUAGGUUCAUUAUGACAUGACACAUUUUUGUGUGCCCACUUAAUGCAAAAGAUGCCAAAGGUAAAACCUUAUCCAAGCCACCCCUUCUAGUACCUCACUUUGUUGGGGGACAACUUCUCCAUCUUUUAGCUUCUGAUGAAUUUUUUUGUUGUUGAUGUAUUUGUGGUCAAUUUUUUGGGUUAGUAUUUUGCUUCCAAUGCUGAUUUUUUUAAUUAAAGAAUUCUUAAAAAUUGUAAUUUAUUUCUAGGGUUGCAACUUUGGCAUAUAAAGCUGAAGCUUUAGAGUUGCAGAAACAACUCAGGCAUAUUCAGUCUCAAUUUGAUAUGCACACUGGCCAGGCUUUGUCUGUAAUCCAAGGGAGAUGGGCACAGGUCGCUGCAACAUCUACUGUCAAUGGACACCUUACAGAUCCAGAUGCUAGUCUUUCAGUGAGAAAUUUAGAGGUAUGUAAGCUAUUAUAAAUGGAAUAUAUUUUUGAACUUGUUCGCUUUUUAUGAUAGUUUUGAUUUAAACUAUGCAAAAUUGAUUAGUCCGGUUCUAGAGUUCUUUAAACUUAUGAAUGAGGUUGAGAAUGAGGACCUUGAUUUAUUUUGGAGACUAUAGUGGACAAGUUUGGGGAGGAGAUGGCACCUUAAGCUCUUGGGUUAUGCCAGAAUUUGGUACUGUUAGCCUCCAUUUUAUUUGAUUUUACACGUAUAUUCAUAAGUCCUUGACAACUUCUUUUUUUAAUAAAUAUUCAAACAGCUGCAUUUUGGAGGUGCAUGAACACAGCUGAAGCUGAAGAUGAAGCUGAUGAUCCUGGUGCUUUGGCUGCAGUUGGCUGUUUGCGUGCCAUUAGCACAAUUCUUGAAUCAGUGAGCAGGCUUCCUCAACUUUUUGUCCAAGUUGAACCAACGUUGGUCCGUAUAAUGCAUAGAAUGUUAACAAGUGAUGGCCAAGGUAUGUAUUCUAAUACCUCAAUCUGGCUUAUUUUUGACAUUGUUUCUAUUCUUUUCUGAAUCUUUUUAUUUCCUGAUAAGGUUUUGCUGCCAAAGAGGAUUGGUGGGCCUUUUAUAUGUUGUUAUCAAUAAGUAAUAACUCUCAAGGGUAUUUAAUUUGAUUGUGUAUUAUGUUUUCUGUAUAUAUUGGAUUCUUUAUCUUCUUGAGUGUUUGCGGUUGACAGUUGUUUAAAGGAUUGGUAUUUCUGCUAUUUCGUAUGGGUAUGUAAAGGGUUGCUGUAUCCUGUCCUUGUGCCUUCACAUGUAAAUAUACACAAGCACUUCUGCAUAAAGGGUAAUUCUACUUUGUUACCACUGUUCAUUUUUCUGUUGAAUUUUCUUGUGGCUUGCCAAGUAAAAAAUUUAAUUUUUUUCUUAUGCCCCCGGUCUUUGAGUUUUGUAUUAGUUUCUCAUUUGUUCUUUUAUUAUUCAAUUUCUACCACAUACUUCACAAUGCUACUGAAGGAAACAGAGUUGGCACUGUGACGAGUAUUUCUUGCACAUUUAUACAAUAAAGUAUUGUACUACGGUGCGCAUGUAACUUGCUAAAAGCUUACUCCGUGGGAAUACAAUUGAUUAUUGCAGGACCUUAUGUAUGCUUCCGAAAAGGCAGCUCAGGUUCAUGUGCACCAUAGUGGUAUGAUUUCUGCCUAUGAUCUGUACGAACUAUUUAUGUAUGGAGUUGUAUGUCUAUUCACUUUGCACUAGAAAGAAUAGAACACUAGGUUAGUUGUUUAUAUCUUUCCAGUUUUAAGCAAGUCUAUAAACAACUAGAUUUAUUAAUCUAUCCCUUAAUAUGGGCGGCUUAUUUUUUCCUUUUUUAUCCAGUCAAUGGAUGUAUGGAUCCUUGGUACUUAGUUCUUUCCAUUAAAACACAGAUUUGGUGCUUUUCCAAUUGGCCUGUACUCUAAUUUAAAACCCACACAAAUUUGGGGGUUCUGAAGUUUGAAUUAUGUGCUAGCAAACAUGACUUUGAAAAACAGCUAAAAAAAAGGUGCUAAUCAUUACAGAUGAAUUCAUUGUAUGACAUUAUUCUACAGGUUUAGUUUGAGUCCAUACAACACUAAAGAAUAAAAAGGACAAGGGAUAGAAAAAAAAAAUGCUCAUAGAAUAUUAUUGUUAGGAAGAGCUAAACAUCAAAAGGGUGAAAUGACAAAGUGCUUGCCCUUUUACAAUGUCAAGGCUCAUUUUACAAGGAUCUGUUGCUCUCAACUUGACUUGAGUGUCAUCCAGAUCUAGAUCCCUCUUGAAUCUAUCUUUGGAGGUGGCAUAGACCAUCUUACUUUUCACUUUUGAUGUAUCAAGUUGACCUGAAAAACAAGAGAGUCAACUUUCAUAGGCAACAUUGCAGACCAAAUUGUUUAUUAUUUUGGCCUCCAAUAUAAUCGCACGCCUCCAAAGAGGAGAAGCGUUCAGCCUGGAAGCCAAAUCUAGUUUGGCAUCCAAUUUCUAGUUCUAUUGUGUCAUUAACAUUUUGAGAGUAGUUACAUUACUUGGGAAGCAAAAUUUGCUAUGAUUUUUUCGUCAGAAUUUAUGUGCACAAUAUUCCAAAGGAGAAACAUUAGUCUUUAAGCAUGCAUAUUGACUUACUUGAGGAAAAGUAGAAUUACCAUGCAAUGAAAAAAAUCUUGCUUUCUGGAAAUUCUCAUCAGUGAUGAAAUACAAAUCAUGGGCAGCACCCAUUGGCAGGCAGAGACUCUACAAAGUCCUCAGGUUUCAUCUGGGCUUCCAAGUUUCUCCACAACCUCUUCUUGAUUCUCUAAUUUUGAAACUAAUGAACCAGUGAUUCCUAUUUACUUUUAGCUCCAAGAAUUUGAGUUUACAUUCAUCACACAGCCAUUCCAAAUGCCGCAUUUGCCUAAUAGAUAUCAUCAUGGAUUUAUAAUAAGCACAAUAGGAAUUUGUUAGGAUAGGACAAUAUCAAGAAAUGCAUAUCAGCAUUUAUUUUAGUAUACUAUGCGUCAUAGUUAUUGGACAAAGCAUAUUAUCAUCACCAGAUUGCAUCACAACUAAUUGGACUUUCAAGCUUACACAAAGAGAUGAUGAAAAUACUACCUGCUGUUUAUUUUGUUAAAAUGUUCUCGUGGAACAGAAAUGAUUUUGGGACAAGUGGCACAAUCCUAAUACUAUUUUCUACAAUAAAUGGUGAUGUGCUAAACAUAUUGGGACAAGUGGCACAUCCUAGGACUAUUUUCUAGAUCUGCUUUACCUAAUUUCUAAAAGGAAUCAUUUACUUUGAUGACGGAUGGAAUAUAUAUGAAUACGAUGUUUCUUCCUAUAAAUGUUCAAGCCAAUCCAAUUUGAUAGUAUAAAAUCAAUUUUCAGCUCACACAAGCACUAAUCUGUUAAAACUGGUAAUCUAUAUGACUAUAUCUUGCCAAAAGCAAUCCAAUUUGAUUUCUUUCUCUUUAGCCCAUAAUGUUAAAGAGAUUCAUGCCUGUGGGAAAAUUUUCUAUUCAAUUCUUGUGUUUGAAAAUUUCUGUACAAUUCUCCUGUUAAUUCAAAUAAGAACUUUCAAACUUAACUGUCAAAUGGGUCUAGAUGAGUAAAUCUUGCAGCUUUAAUUCAUAUUCAGGGCAAGUGUUUUGAGGCAAACAUCAAUCACAAUGUGGCAGAAAAUGUAAAUUUAAAACUACAAAAUCAGGAAAAUCUGAAUGUGGGGGACAACAUGAAAUGCUAUUAGACUUGCUACACCAAAAGUUUAGCUGUUCAAGCUUACCAGGUAUUCUAACUAAUAGACUUUGUUCCAUUCCUAGAAGACCUGAUACUUGGGAUGCAUAGUUAGCUUGGGCAAUAGGAGUUCUAAAAGGCAGAAAAGCUUUGUUGUUAUCAUUUUUGAAGUUUCUUGGAUUGCUCUUAUAUAUCCAACUUGGAUGGAGAAAACUCUCAAUGGCAUGAGAACAACUUAAAGAUGAAAAAACUACAUUCAAUAUUAUUGUCAUAAAGGAUAGAUGGACUGGCAUCAAGCUGGCAUAUUGUGAAUUCUGCUAGAAACAAAGGUUGUGUUCUUUUUGAAAUAUCCCUAUGACUGUAUUUGAUUCUAAUUCUUAACCUUUGUAUUUUUCUAUCUUCUGUUUGGUUUUGAUGAUAUGUUGUCCUGUAAUCUAUUGUGUUUUAUCCUUAUUGGGGAUUGGGCUCUUUGUAUUGUUUUGGUUCUUUUUUGGUAGUCUGCUAGUCUGUUUGCAAUUUAUUUGUUUCUAAUGAAUAAAUCUCAUUCAACUUUAAAAAAAAAAGGAUAUUUAGGAAACAAAAGGUUAUUCUUAGCUAAUCAAUAUUGCUUUAUUUUUUUUUUAUGAUGAAUAUGUUCUCAUUCGGCUAAAAAGAUGAUGUUUAGGGAAUCAAAGGAUGUGCUUAAUUAAUAAAGACGGUGAUGGUGAGCCCAUCACCUGGUUAGGCAAUGUUGCUUCCUUCAUUAUUUUUGCAAAAGCUACUGCACCUUGGUCUAAAUGAAAUUUGAUAUCAUGUUCCUAUACAUUUAUUUGCUACUGGUAUGCAGUUUCUUAAUUCCGAAUUCAGAACAAGCAUCUCAAAUCUAUAA